CCACAGUGGAACACAUGGCUGGAUGAAAUGGUGUCCUCUACAGGGGGUAAUGAAAAGAAGAAAAAUCAAGAUGGCAAGCAAUACCACAGCACAGAGGUCAAGAUCAUACAGAGAAAGAAUAAAAUCAGAUCCACUUAAAUAUGCAGAGUCCCUCAAGAAGGACAGAGAAAGAUACCUGAAGAAAAAGCAACAAGGUGUUGUUAAAUCUGUGACAGAAAUGCCGAAAAGAGAACAACGAAAAAUGAGAAGACAGUGGCGAAUUUCUCAACGAAACAGACGUAGGAAAUGGAAAAUGGUCUCAGCAGUGAAUAGUUUCAUGGCACAUACAACACCACCACCAUCACCAGACAACAUGAGUGUUAAUGCAGAAGACAUCCCUGAAACACCUCAGCUGUGUGAGCUUACACCAGAGAGAACUCCACAGAGGAAAAGAGGGAGAAAAAAGGUUGCGAAGGCAAAAGCAAAGGUGUACAGAGAUCUUAAUGACAUUAAACAAAAGCUUGAGGAUGCCCUCAGAAAAGUUGAAAAAUACAAAAAAAGUUCAAGCACACUUACCAGCACAUCUCAACCCAUCAUAGACCUGCAUGAGGGACUGAUUGGAAGUUGGUGUGUGGUACGGUAUGAUGGGGAUCCUUACCCUGGCAUUAUACAGGAUGUGGACCCUGAGGGUUGUGCUCUGGUGAGAACCAUGAGUCAUAUUGGCAAAAACAAGUUAUUCUGGCCUAUGAGAGACGAUGUUAUUUGGUACCGGCCAGAAGAUGUGAUCAGGCUGGUCCCAGAGCCUCAACCAGUAACAAAGAGGCAUGUGAUGGUGGAGCCAACAGUUUGGAAAGAAAUAUGCUCUGUUCUUGACCAUGAAACAUAACUGAACCUCUGGCCCAUAUGCAAGUUUGACAGAUACAGUAUUUAGCAAAUACAAUGUCUAUUUAGUCAGAUUCAACUUGUUAUUCCACAUGAUUACGUUUGACAGUACAUGGAUUUACAAUAUAACACACAUGACAGUAAUGUUUAAGUACAGAGUGUUUGCUCUGGUUCAGCAUAGGCAUAUAAGUUUUCAAUUUCAAAAUAUAUUGCCUAUUUUAUCUGUUAUUCAACUGGUUAUAUUAAGGUUAUGUUAAGGUAAUGAUGACAUAAAGGGUUUGCUCUAGUUUGUACUAGUUUGCUCUAGUUCAGCAUGUAGAAAACAGUGAAGAAAUGAUUUGCUGAUUUUUAACACAAAUUCAUGUUUUUUCAUUUUUUGGAUUGUUUUUAAUUUAAAAAUAUUGGUGAUAUGUUUUUGUUCACAAAUGCUGUUGCUUAUUGAUUUGCUCUGGUUCACCACAUAGAGCAGUAGAAAAAUUGUUUUUAAUUGGAAGUUGCCUAUCUGUCAUUUCCGCCACGCCAUGUCAUUUCCACCACAACACAUAUUUUAAAGUAAAACAUAAAAAACAUACAAUCAAACCAACUAUAUUCAGUGGUGUUGAUAAUUGUGCAGUUAGGGCUAAGAUUUGUGUAUACACUUUGAGAAAUAUAUGAUUUUUUGAGCUAUGAUAAGAAAAUGAAAUGUUCCAUUGACCUAGUUUUAGGUGUUUUUUAGUGUAAACAUUGUAAAAUCUUUACAGUUACAUUUCUGAAAAAAAUAAUAAAUUACAAAUUUGAACAGA